GCCGGGCGUGGUGGCGCACACCUGUAAUCCCAGAGGCUCAGGAGGCUGAGGCAGGAGGAUGGUGGGUUCAAAGUCAGCCUCAGCAAAAGCGAGGCACUAAGCAACUCAGUGAGACCCUGUCUCUA
rnacentral:sRNA from 1 species